rnacentral:tRNA from 1 species
CGCGGAGUGGAGCAGGUGGUAGCUCGUCAGGCUCAUAAUCUGAAGGUCGUUGGUUCAACUCCAACCUCCGCAACCA